rnacentral:ncRNA from 1 species
GAAAUUUAGUCGGGGUGCUGCGUGCAGCUGAGAUGAUACCCGUGAACCUGAAACAGUUAGCACUGACGUAGGAAACUAAUAUGACCAUACU